AAUCUAUGGUUUCUCCUCUCUCUCUCUCUGUCCGUUUUGCUCUCUCUCUCUCUCUCGUUCUUUUGUUUCUGGUUUGGCUAAAUAGGACACCCCUCUCUCUCUCUUCUCUGGUCGUCUUCCCUAUUACCAUUCGUAAAGAUCGGAGUCAUAGGCUGUGCAGAGAUUGAUGAGGUAGCACUCUAAAAACUCUGAAAUUUUCUCUUCUUUGCUUUGAAUCUAUGGUUUCUCCUCUCUCUCUCUCUCUCUCUGUCCGUUUUGCUCUUUAUCAUCUCUUACUUUCGUCUCUUGCUUUCGAAGGCUUCUUGAAGAUCUCUAUCUUGUCUGGUAGCUUAUUGGUUCGAAAGAGUUCUCAUUGAAAAGCUUGCUCUUUAGCACAAUAUUUUGAUGAGAAAGUUCAGGCCAAUACUUGAAUGCAGUAAAUACUGGGGGAGAUAUGGAUAACAUUUGUGGAUUGACCAUGUAGAAACAAAUAAAUUUCAGAGUUUUACACAAAAUAAUAGCUCACCAGGAAAGAGGCAGUGAGGAUGCUAUAUACCUCUAGAAGGGAAUUUGGGUGACACAAGGCUAUCUUUCAUUAAAAGCUGCAUGAACUUCUCCCCUAUUUGUGUCUCUGAAUUUCCCUUCUCAAUGUCCAUAUCCACAAGGCAUGGGGGAUAAGGAUUCGCAUUUUCUAUGUCUAGAUUGACGUAGUUUUUGCUAUUCAAUUCAGCAUCCAAGCACAUCUGGCCAUCAGUUGAGUUGGGG